rnacentral:rRNA from 1 species
CCUACGGGGUGCAGCAGUGGGGAAUAUUGCGCAAUGGGCGAAAGCCUGACGCAGCGACGCCGCGUGAGGGAUGAAGGUCUUCGGAUCGUAAACCUCUGUCAGCAGGGAAGAACGGUCACUGUGCUAAUCAGCAGUGAAUUGACGGUACCUGCAAAGGAAGCACCGGCUAACUCCGUGCCAGCAGCCGCGGUAAUACGGAGGGUGCGAGCGUUAAUCGGAAUUACUGGGCGUAAAGCGCUCGUAGGCGGUAUGUCAAGUCAAGGGUGAAAUCCCCGCGCUCAACGUGGGAACUGCCUUUGAAACUGGCAAACUGGAGUGUGUGAGAGGAUAGUGGAAUUCCAGGUGUAGGAGUGAAAUGCGUAGAUAUCUGGAGGAACAUCAGUGGCGAAGGCGACUAUCUGGCACAUAACUGACGCUGAGGAGCGAAAGCGUGGGUAGCAAACAGGAUUAGAUACCCCGGUAGUC